AACGAACGCUGGCGGCAGGCCUAACACAUGCAAGUCGAGCGAGGACUUCGGUCCUAGCGGCGGACGGGUGAGUAACGCAUGGGAACGUGCCCCUUGGUACGGAAUAGCCCCGGGAAACUGGGAGUAAUACCGUAUGAGCUCUACGGAGGAAAGAUUUAUCGCCAAGGGAUCGGCCCGCGUUGGAUUAGGUAGUUGGUGGGGUAAUGGCCUACCAAGCCGACGAUCCAUAGCUGGUUUGAGCGGAUGAUCAGCCACACUGGGACUGAGACACGGCCCAGACUCCUACGGGAGGCAGCAGUGGGGAAUCUUAGACAAUGGGCGCAAGCCUGAUCUAGCCAUGCCGCGUGAGCGAUGAAGGCCUUAGGGUUGUAAAGCUCUUUCAGCUGGGAAGAUAAUGACUGUACCAGCAGAAGAAGCCCCGGCUAACUCCGUGCCAGCCGCCGCGGUAAAAC
rnacentral:rRNA from 1 species